GAAUGAAUCAGGCCUCUCUACAAAGCAGUUCACCACCUCCACGUUCAAAUGGCAGAAGUCUGGCAAGUACCUGAAAAAUCACCUGACACAUGCCGUAGCUAUUUCACAGAUAAAUGUUCCUCUCCCUGUGCCUGUAUUUUCCCAGCGACAGACAGACUUUGGCAAUUGUAACAACACAUGGCCCUGAGUCUGUCAGCCCUAAGUGCUUGGAUUCCUGAUCUAAAAAUGUCAUUCUCUCCUUUUCAGGGAAAUGGCUUUCUAGGCAGAGCACUGGGCUUUGGAACCUCAGAGGAGAACAAGGGAAAAGACAUCAUGCAAAGAGCCCACACCCUUGUCUAGGAGCCAGUGCCACUGCUGUCCUGGAUCCACCUCUCAGUAGCUCCACAAGGCUGGCAAACAACAGCUCUUUCUGAGCCUCAUCAUGCUCAUCUAUGAAGUGGGAUCCAUAGACCUAUGGUGUGAAGACACGAGCUUACUCUUGAAGAUGAAAUUAGAGUCUGGAAAAACAGUGUUCAGAGUCAGCAAACACAGAAAGCUGUUUUCAUCCCAGGGCUCUGCCAGACCUGAAGAGCACGGACCUGGCCAGGCGUGCAGAAGCCCCCGGUACCAGUGCAGCGGCCAGAUCAGAUCCUGCUGGCACGGCAUCCCCCCUACUGGCCUUGCUGCUCUUACGCCCCCAGACUUGGAUGACAGUCCCACAGCACACCUGACCUCAAGCUGUGGUCAACUAACUCCACCCUCCGCCUCAUCCCAAGCUAAGUGUGUCUAUCAAGAUGCCUUUCUUGGCUUCUCUUUAUCCUGAAGCCACUGUCCAGGCUCUUGUCAUGAAAGCCCUCGGUCUACCAGCGCCCACCUAUCCACAACCAGGGCCAUUUUCAGCAUGGGUCCCCUGCCAGCUUCCCCCAGGGACCUUGUCUCAUCGUGUCAGGGUAAGACUAUGACUCCCUCCACGGCCCAGCAAUGAGGCCAGAGCUGGAGCUGAAGUUACUGGGACAUCGGGACCGCGUCUUGGAACACGCUGUGGCUGUGGGGUUUUGUUUGGUUUGUUUUAUUAAAAGCAUUUAAUAAAAACAGCCAGAACAAGGGAAAAGGUAA